CUCGUUAGAGGUAUAGGGUAAGCAUCAAGGAAGACGAGGGGUGGAUCAGAGCGUGUGUAUUUCAUGAUUCGCUGAGAAUCAAAUAUCACUUUGGUUCCGACGCCGCACAGCUUAAUAAUUGUCCGUAGCGACGUGUGAUCUGAUCCAUGCGAUCGAGUUGGUGAUGAUCCGCACAGGGCAUCUGGCAAGUUGUUAAGAACAUGUUAAGACCAAAUGAAAGGCGGAUAAAUGUCAUCGAUAAAAUUGUCUACUAAUCGCCACCAUUUUUAAGAAACCAACGCGCCUGUUCGCUGUCUCUCGUGAUGGAUGCAUGUUUACGUUGUCCGGUUUGCGGGGUUACCAUGUUGUGGUGUCAUCAACGAUGUAUAUCCAGAGUAUAGUUUGUUAUGGCAGUCCCAAUGAUGUAUCUAUGGUGAUUUCUAUAUCUAUUAAUUACCCUGCCAACUAAGCAAAAUGCUGAUGUGGCAAUUGAUUUA